rnacentral:rRNA from 1 species
GAUGAACGCUGGCGGCGUGCCUAAUACAUGCCAGUCGAGCGAACAGACGAGGAGCUUGCUCCUCUGACGUUAGCGGCGGACGGGUGAGUAACACGUGGAUAACCUACCUAUAAGACUGGGAUAACUUCGGGAAACCGGAGCUAAUACCGGAUAACAUGUUGAACCGCAUGGUUCAACAGUGAAAGACGGUCUUGCUGUCACUUAUAGAUGGAUCCGCGCCGCAUUAGCUAGUUGGUAAGGUAACGGCUUACCAAGGCAACGAUGCGUAGCCGACCUGAGAGGGUGAUCGGCCACACUGGAACUGAGACACGGUCCAGACUCCUACGGGAGGCAGCAGUAGGGAAUCUUCCGCAAUGGGCGAAAUCCUGACGGAGCAACGCCGCGUGAGUGAAGAAGGUCUUCGGAACGUAAAACUCUGUUAUUAGGGAAGAACAAAUGUGUAAGUAACUAUGCACGUCUUGACGGUACCUAACCAGAAAGCCACGGCUAACUACGUG